CGCGGCCUAUCAGCUUGUUGGUGAGGUAACGGCUCACCAAGGCAACGACGGGUAGCUGGUCUGAGAGGACGAUCAGCCACACUGGGACUGAGACACGGCCCAGACUCCUACGGGAGGCAGCAGCAGGGAAUAUUGCACAAUGGGCGAAAGCCUGAUGCAGCGACGCCGCGUGGGGGAUGAAGGCCUUCGGGUUGUAAAUCCCUUUCAGGAGGGACGAAGCGAAAGUGACGGUACCUCCAGAAGAAGCCCCGGCCAACUACGUGCCAGCAGCCGCGGUAAUACGUAGGGGGCGAGCGUUGUCCGGAUUUAUUGGGCGUAAAGAGCUCGUAGGCGGCUCAACAAGUCGGCCGUGAAAGCCCGAGGCUUAACCUCGGGACGCCGGUCGAAACUGUUGUGGCUAGGGUCCGGUAGAGGAGAGUGGAAUUCCCGGUGUAGCGGUGAAAUGCGCAGAUAUCGGGAGGAACACCAGUAGCGAAGGCGGCUCUCUGGGCCGGCACCGACGCUGAGGAGCGAAAGCUAGGGGAGCAAACAGGAUUAGAUACCCUGGUAGUCCUAGCCGUAAACGAUGGGUACUAGGUGUGGCGGAUUCAUUGACAUCUGCCGUGCCGAAGCUAACGCAUUAAGUACCCCGCCUGGGGAGUACGG
rnacentral:rRNA from 1 species